rnacentral:rRNA from 1 species
AACGAACGCUGGCGGCAGGCCUAACACAUGCAAGUCGAACGCUGUAGCAAUACAGAGUGGCAGACGGGUGAGUAACGCGUGGGAACGUGCCCUUUGGUUCGGAAUAACCCAGGGAAACUUGGGCUAAUACCGGAUACGUCCGUAAGGAGAAAGAUUUAUCGCCAAAGGAUCGGCCCGCGUCGGAUUAGCUAGUUGGUGAGGUAAAGGCUCACCAAGGCGACGAUCCGUAGCUGGUCUGAGAGGAUGACCAGCCACACUGGGACUGAGACACGGCCCAGACUCCUACGGGAGGCAGCAGUGAGGAAUAUUGGACAAUGGGCGCAAGCCUGAUCCAGCCAUGCCGCGUGAGUGAAGAAGGCCUUAGGGUUGUAAAGCUCUUUCAGCGGGGAAGAUAAUGACGGUACCCGCAGAAGAAGCCCCGGCUAACUCCGUGCCAGCAGCCGCAGU